AACAGAAACAUCCAAUCAAUAGUUAUGAUUGCACUAAGCGGUUGCUAUGUGGAUGUUUUUUUAUGUUCGACAGCUCAGCAAAGUCUGCGGAUCUGGUUAUGUUCCUGUACGAGACAGAUGACGAAGCGGUUGGACUGACUGACCAGUUGGGGCGAAAAUUUUUGUGGGAAGGACGUAAGAGAAAGUUGACAUUCAGGAACCUUCACCUUGCUGAGUGCAUCAUAAAUGCAAUGCAGAGCUGCCAUAAAUGUGAAGACUUCAAGGUAGAAACCAUGGUCACGGAUUAACUUCGCCACGCACCUGCCUGACAUCAGUCAUCUCAAAUGGACCAUUCUGCACCACAGGAGAGAGAGAGAUGUGAACU